GAUGAACGCUGGCGGCGUGCCUAAUACAUGCAAGUCGAGCGAACAGACGAGGAGCUUGCUCCUCUGACGUUAGCGGCGGACGGGUGAGUAACACGUGGAUAACCUACCUAUAAGACUGGGAUAACUUCGGGAAACCGGCGCUAAUACCGGAUAAUAUAUUGAACCGCAUGGUUCACUAGUGAAAGACGGUUUUGCUGUCACUUAUAGAUGGAUCCGCGCCGCAUUAGCUGGUUGGUAAGGUAACGGCUUACCAAGGCAACGAUGCGUAGCCGACCUGAGAGGGUGAUCGACCACACGGGAAGUGAGACACGGUCCAGACUCCUACGGGAGGCAGCAGUAGGGAAUCUUCCGCAAUGGGCGAAAGCCUGACGGAGCAACGCGGCGUGAGUGAUGAAGGUGUUCGGAUCGUAAAACUCUGUUAUUAGGGAAGAACAAAUGUGUAAGUAACUAUGCACGUCUUGACGGUACCUAAUCAGAAAGCCACGGCUAACUACGUG
rnacentral:rRNA from 1 species